rnacentral:rRNA from 1 species
AGAGUUUGAUCAUGGCUCAGGACGAACGCUGGCGGCGUGCCUAAUACAUGCAAGUCGAACGGUAACAGGAAGCAGCUUGCUGCUUCGCUGACGAGUGGCGGACGGGUGAGUAAUGUCUGGGAAACUGCCUGAUGGAGGGGGAUAACUACUGGAAACGGUAGCUAAUACCGCAUAACGUCGCAAGACCAAAGAGGGGGACCUUCGGGCCUCUUGCCAUCGGAUGUGCCCAGAUGGGAUUAGCUAGUAGGUGGGGUAACGGCUCACCUAGGCGACGAUCCCUAGCUGGUCUGAGAGGAUGACCAGCCACACUGGAACUGAGACACGGUCCAGACUCCUACGGGAGGCAGCAGUGGGGAAUAUUGCACAAUGGGCGCAAGCCUGAUGCAGCCAUGCCGCGUGUAUGAAGAAGGCCUUCGGGUUGUAAAGUACUUUCAGCGGGGAGGAAGGUGUUGAGGUUAAUAACCUCAGCAAUUGACGUUACCCGCAGAAGAAGCACCGGCUAACUCCGUGCCAGCAGCCGCGGUAAUAC